UUCAGAUGGACCGUGUCAUUUUUUGUGUAUUUUUGGAAGUUGACUACAAAAUUUACAAGAAGAAAAUGAACGACUUCUUCCCAACAGAGGGAGCUGAGAAGAAAACUCACUCUCCUUCACCCGUGAAAUGCAAAACCAAACUGCCUGAGAAUCUGGAGGAUGAUAAUGAGGGUGAGAAUGGCACAGAAGUGAAGCCAAGCAAUGAUGAACCGGAGCCUCAGAGCCAAGAAGAAGAUGAGGCAGUAUCUAUAAUUCCAAGCAGCCCAGCAGAUGGAGGAGAGAACCUGGGCAAGGAAAAAGGUACAGAUCACGAAACUGGCUAAGAAAAACCAAAUCCUCAAAGGGGAUUUUAAAAAG
rnacentral:lncRNA from 1 species